rnacentral:pre_miRNA from 1 species
UAAUAAUAACCCGUAGAUCCGAACUUGUGUAGUAUUUAAUCACAAGUUCGUAUGAAGCGGGACUUAUUGU